UGUGUUUUUAGGGUUUCAUGUUGAGUUUGGCAAGUGAAGUCUGACUCGUAUUGCUACUUCUGGUGUACAGCAAGGAGGUAAUUUAUCUUUAAUCAAGAUUGCUACAUUAAUUUGAUAAAAAAAAAAAAAAAAAAAAAAAUUAAACGUGUUAUGGAGUUAUGAUUUUCAAUUACCUCUCGGUAAUUUUGUUAACAUACCAGGUGAUUCAUUCAAGUGAGUAUACUCAUUAUGGCGGAAAGCAUUAACUUUUACCGCAAUUUGUUUUCUAGAACAUUUAAGAAACGAGCUGUUUCAUAAUUUUAUAUUUGUGUUAUUUUUUGGGGGUAAAACAACUAUCUAGUUUUGAGUUUUAAAUGGCAACCUAACGUAUAUUAAAAAGUCCAUAAAUAGAUUGAACAUUAGUUAAAAUAAAUUUUAGUGUUGACAUUUUCGAUUUCUCUCCAAAUGUUUACAAGAUAUCAUUUUUAAUUUUAAGUUGGAAGAGAAUAGUUGGUGUAUUAUUAACACCCCGCACCACAUAAAUUAUACUCCACUGUUUUCCUCACACCCAAAUAUAAAAGUGGAAUAUUUCGCCAACACCUUGACAGAAAUCAGAAAUGUCCACACAAAAAUGUAUUUAAACUAAUACUAAAUCUUUUAAUGGACAUAAACAAUGCCACUUGAAAAUCAAAAGUAUGUUGUUUUUUGCCCCCAAAAUUUAUGUUGACAAAAAAAUAACAUAAAUAUAAAAUUAUGGAGCAGCUUGUCUCUUAAAUGUUCUACGAAAACAAAUUCUGGUAAAAGUUAAUACUUUCUGAAAUAUUAAUGUACUCACUAUAAUUAAUCACCUGAUACACUACUAGUUAAACUAAGAAUGUUUCUUAAAAAUGGAAUAAUUUUUGAUUUUAGAAUUUAAAUGUUCGACCCAUAUAAUGUAAUAUACCUUCUUAUGUGAUCCUGAGAAUUUCAAAUGAUUAGCUACCAGGUAAUUUGUUUGUUUUAUCAUGACCAAAAGUAAAUUUU